AACUCAGUGAGGUUCCGUCUGAGUUGAGUGACUGUCUUGUUUUCACUAAGAGGACGGCCUCUUGUGUUUGGUUCUGCCUGUCUCUGAAAACCAUAUUAAAAAGUAACAGAAACGAUAAUUGUUCCCAGGAGGCAGCGAGAAGGACCCUGGGGGACGGAAUUGCCGCAAAUCCGUCUUUGGGGACGAUGACUAAGCAAUUGUUUUGAAAAGACUUUUCGGGGGAGAAUAAAAUGCCCCUCCCUUAACGGAAGGCAAGCCAGGAGAGCAGGGGCCCGGGGUUGAAAAUGCGAAAGUGCACUGACCAAACACCCCGCCCCAGCCUACUCCAAGGCAACUCACUCCCACCUAGGGACCCCCACUCUGCGUUGAGGGGAAACAAUCAAAGGACUUUCAGAUUCUUUUUUGAUUGUGAGCUCCUAGCCAGCCUGGGAUAGAUCCCGUGCCCCAUCCCAUUCCACUGUGCUUCAUUAGUCAAUGGCAUUUAUCGAGCACUUAAUGUGUGAGCCCAAUACGGACAGAGAUGGGAGACGUGAUCCCUGCCCAUAAGGAGUUUACAACCCAUAGUAGGACUCUUCAUACCUCAACCUAGGGGUGGAGGCGGUGCAACUGGAAUCCUCACUUCCUGGCAAGAUUAAGCCGGUUACACACAUUAACUAGCUCACUGGUGUUGAGAGAAAUUUGACCGGAGAACUCACGCCCCUUCUCCAGAGCGCCCCGCCUAUAGCUGCUAAUCCAGGCCCCGCACACUUGGAGUUGCUUCUUAAAUGGAAUGGUUUUCCCGCACAGCAGACCCAAGUGACACCCAGCACCAGGCAGAGGAAGGUAAGAACACAAACCAUUUUAGUAAUGGGAAUCAAAAGUCAGUUCGUGCGCCACACAACACUCGAUGGAAAGGGAGGCUCUCGGGGGUCAAGGAGGUCAGUCUGCUGUCGUGGGACCGAUGCUGGGCAGAAAAUCAUUUCUCUUUCAAGAAGCCGUGAGGCAGAUCGAGAGUCCGAGAAACGGGAGCUAAAGAAUCAGCGGGCCCGGGCCAUCCCGUCUGCUACCCCAAGCCAGUUAUCUCCGCCUCCUCUCACUCACCCGGCUACAAUGAAACAGGCAGUAUAACAAGAACCACGUUGUAUCCCUACCUGGAAUUCCUCAUGCUGGCUUGCAGGGGCAGGAGGACAAAGCCAGGAACAGAAGCAGCGAGCGAGAAACUCAAUGUCGCUGCAGACGGUAAAACCACGAUCCUGCGGGCAGGGCCACGUGAGACCAGCCCUAUUCCUUUCUCACUGCCUUCUUCAGGUAGAGGUUGCUUUUGUCACAUACUUACGUGUCAAUCACGAGUAAGCGCUUAAG